CGGAUGCCGAUCUCGAAAACCUGUCCCAGUUCGGACUGGAGUCUGCAACCCGACUCCACGAAGUUGGAUUCGCUAGUAAUCGCGCAUCAGCCAUGGCGCGGUGAAUACGUUCCCGGGCCUUGUACGCACCGCCCGUCAAGCCAUGGGAGCCGGGGGCGCCUGAAGUCCGGGACCGCGAGGACCGGCCUAGGGCGAAACUGGGUGACUGGGGCUAAGUCGUAACAAGGUAUC
rnacentral:rRNA from 1 species